AGAGUUUGAUUCUGGCUCAGGAUGAACGCUGGCGGCGUGCCUAACACAUGCAAGUCGAACGAAGCAUGCCGGAGGAAGUUUUCGGAUGGAAUCCGGGAUGACUGAGUGGCGGACGGGUGAGUAACGCGUGGGUAACCUGCCCUGUACAGGGGGACAACAGUUAGAAAUGACUGCUAAUACCGCAUAAGCGCACAGGACCGCAUGGUCCGGUGUGAAAAACUCCGGUGGUACAGGAUGGACCCGCGUCUGAUUAGGUAGUUGGCGGGGUAACGGCCCACCAAGCCGACGAUCAGUAGCCGACCUGAGAGGGUGACCGGCCACAUUGGGACUGAGACACGGCCCAAACUCCUACGGGAGGCAGCAGUGGGGAAUAUUGCACAAUGGGGGGAACCCUGAUGCAGCGACGCCGCGUGAGUGAAGAAGUAUUUCGGUAUGUAAAGCUCUAUCAGCAGGGAAGAAAAUGACGGUACCUGACUAAGAAGCCCCGGCUAACUACGUGCCAGCAGCCGCGGUAAUACGUAGGGGGCAAGCGUUAUCCGGAUUUACUGGGUGUAAAGGGAGCGU
rnacentral:rRNA from 1 species